rnacentral:lncRNA from 1 species
GAAAGGUGACUAUAUUGUCUUCCAUUUCAUAUGCAUGCAUAGGGUUUACAGAUAAAGCUUCCCUGUUCAUGCAUGUUUCUUUCCUGAAGUUGCUUCUUAGUGACCAAUUCAUCCAUGUGGUCUAAAACAAGAAAACCAUGAAAAUGACGAAACAGAUAUAAUGAGUAUUUAAACUAUGGGUGCUGUAAUGAGUAUUUAAACUAUGGGUGCUGUCAGUUUGCAAAAAUGAAUGAUUUUUUGUUUCAUCCAUAUUAAGUUGCUGUCCGUAGCAUAGUCUGGGGACAGAAAAGUAAUAGCACAUAUUACAAGAGGAAGGAUAAUUAUGGGGAUCAAGGAUGUAAAUGAUGUAGUCAGUUAACAGAAAUUUAACAAAUAUUGUUUGGUGUAUUAAUAUACAUAUGGUGAUGCAUAAAAAUACUUCUUACCUACAUAAUUGCUUUUAGGAUACUAAU